UACGGAGGGUGCAAGCGUUAUCCGGAUUCACUGGGUUUAAAGGGUGCGUAGGCGGGUUGGUAAGUCAGUGGUGAAAUCUCCAGGCUUAACUUGGAAACUGCCAUUGAUACUAUCAAUCUUGAAUGCCGUGGAGGUCAGCGGAAUAUGUCAUGUAGCUGUGAAAUGCUUAGAUAUGACAUAGAACACCAAUUGCGAAGGCAGCUGGCUACACGAAUAUUGACACUGAUGCACGAAAGCGUGGGGAGCAAACAGG
rnacentral:rRNA from 1 species